rnacentral:rRNA from 1 species
GCAAGUCGAGGGGUAGAGUUCUUCGGAAUUUGAGACCGGCGCACGGGUGCGUAACGCGUAUGCAAUCUGCCUUUCACAGAGGGAUAGCCCAGAGAAAUUUGGAUUAAUACCUCAUAGUAUAAUCAAACCGCAUGGUUUAAUUAUUAAAGUCACAACGGUGAAAGAUGAGCAUGCGUCCCAUUAGCUAGUUGGUAAGGUAACGGCUUACCAAGGCAACGAUGGGUAGGGGUCCUGAGAGGGAGAUCCCCCACACUGGUACUGAGACACGGACCAGACUCCUACGGGAGGCAGCAGUGAGGAAUAUUGGUCAAUGGGCGCAAGCCUGAACCAGCCAUGCCGCGUGCAGGAUGACGGUCCUAUGGAUUGUAAACUGCUUUUGUACAGGAAGAAACACUCCUUCGUGAAGGAACUUGACGGUACUGUAAGAAUAAGGAUCGGCUAACUCCGUGCCAGCAGCCGCGGUAAUACGGAGGAUCCAAGCGUUAUCCGGAAUCAUUGGGUUUAAAGGGUCCGUAGGCGGUUUAGUAAGUCAGUGGUGAAAGCCCAUCGCUCAACGGUGGAACGGCCAUUGAUACUGCUGAACUUGAAUUAUUAGGAAGUAACUAGAAUAUGUAGUGUAGCGGUGAAAUGCUUAGAGAUUACAUGGAAUACCAAUUGCGAAGGCAGGUUACUACUAAUGGAUUGACGCUGAUGGACGAAAGCGUGGGUAGCGAACAGGAUUAGAUACCCUG